rnacentral:rRNA from 1 species
CUUGACCGUGCAAAGGUAGCAUAAUCACUUGUCUCUUAAAUGGGGACCCGUAUGAAUGGCUCUUCAUUCUCUAACUGUCUCCCUUCUUUUCCCUCUAAACUUCUAUUUACGUGAAGAAGCGUAAUUACAUCAGAAAGACGAGAAGACCCUGUCGAGCUUCAGCUAAGUCUAAGACAAGACACUCAUAACCCUUUUAGGUGAACAUCAUCUCCUAGACUAGGCUUUGGUUGGGGCAACCAUGGAGUAAAAGCAGCCUCCAGUUUUUCAGGAAGAAAACCAUUCUCCUAAUACCACUUUGAGAACCAAAGAAUUUUGGUAAACGGAAAAAGUUACCGCAGGGAUAACAGCGUUAUCUUUUUUGAGAGUUCUUAUUGACGAAAAGGAUUGCGACCUCGAUGUUGGAUUGGGGUAACCGGAGGGUGCAGCAGCUCUCGGAGGUUGGACUGUUCGUCCAUUAAUUCCC